UACAGAGGGUGCGAGCGUUGUCCGGAAUCACUGGGCGUAAAGGGCGCGUAGGUGGCGGGCCAAGUCCAUGGUGAAAGCUCGAUGCUCAACAUCGAGUCGGCCACGGAUACUGGUUUGCUGGAGCACUGUAGAGGCAGAUGGAAUUCCGGGUGUAGCGGUGGAAUGCGUAGAGAUCCGGAAGAACACCGGUGGCGAAGGCGGUCUGCUGGGCAGUUGCUGACACUGAGGCGCGACAGCGUGGGGAUCAAACAGG
rnacentral:rRNA from 1 species